rnacentral:rRNA from 1 species
AACGAACGCUGGCGGCAGGCUUAACACAUGCAAGUCGAACGGGCGUCGCAAGACGUCAGUGGCAGACGGGUGAGUAACACGUGGGAACCUUCCUAGGGGUACGGAACAACUCAGGGAAACUUGAGCUAAUACCGUAUACGUCCUUACGGAGAAAGAUUUAUCGCCCUUAGACGGGCCCGCGUCGGAUUAGGUAGUUGGUGGGGUAACGGCCUACCAAGCCUACGAUCCGUAGCUGAUCUGAGAGGAUGAUCAGCCACACUGGGACUGAUACACGGCCCAGACUCCUACGGGAGGCAGCAGUGGGGAAUCUUGGACAAUGGGCGCAAGCCUGAUCCAGCCAUGCCGCGUGAGUGAAGAAGGCCUUAGGGUUGUAAAGCUCUUUUACCAGGGACGAUAAUGACGGUACCUGGAGAAUAAGCCCCGGCAAACUUCGUGCCAGCCGCCGCCGUAACAC